rnacentral:misc_RNA from 1 species
AACGCACCUUGCACCCUUUGGUAUUCCGAAGGGUACGCCUGUUUGAGCGUCAUUAAACUCUCAAAACUAUCAGUUUUUUCGAUUGAUCGUUUUGGAUGUGAGGGUUGCUGAUUGUUUCAACGAUCAGACUCCCUUUAAAUGCAUUAGUGGUUAUCUGAAUCCACUUAAGUGUGAUAGUCUAUCUACGCUUACGGUGAUUUGGAAUGGACUGCUUCUAACCGGUCUCCUCAAGAGACAAUAGACUCAUUUCAGUCGUUAAGACUGGCUUGAAGUUUGUUCAUCCUUACUUCUAUCGAGUCGCUUUUGACAAUUUGACCUCAAAUCAGGUGGGACUACCCGCUGAACUUAA